rnacentral:misc_RNA from 1 species
GUGAGUCAUCGAAUCUUUGAACGCACCUUGCGCUCCUUGGUAUUCCGAGGAGCAUGCCUGUUUGAGUGUCUUGAAGUCAUCAACCCCUCCCGUUUCGUGCGGAUAGGUGCGUUGGAGUUGGGGGACUGCGGUCGCAAGGCCGCUCCCCUCAAAUGCUUCGGUUGGGCCUGAGGGUCGGACUCGGUUGGGCGUUGUAACAACCUCGCUCUUCUCCGAGAAGUUCCCCUGACAUUGUGCCCCUCCACGACCGCCUAUCGAGUGGUGGUCAAAACAACUUUGAAAUCUGACCUCAAAUCAGGUAGGACUACCCGCUGAACUUAAGCAUAUCAAUAAGCGGAGGA